GUCUUACCUGAGUUGGGAGUCUGUAGCGCAGAUAUGAUGCUCACCCUUGCAGAUAGCCACAGGCCGAGGUGGUCAGGUAAGAAUUCACCUGGCCUGUGGGUCUGUGCACGGGGGCUGUGCAGGAUGCAAUACCAAUACGCAGGACAGGCAAGGACUGAACCAGCAGGAUGGUCGAGGGAUAGCCGAAGUCAAGGGAUGCCAGAAGUCAGAAUAAACGAGUCAGGAAGCCGGGGUCAAUAAUGCGAAGCGAUGAAACAGGAACACUGGAACAAACAGGAUCAAAGACUUGACACUGAGCACAGG